AUAUUAGGAAUGCAGAAAAAAUAUCUCCGUCGGAUUAUUACUCGUUCCAAUCCAUGGCUCACUUUCUGUUCUCACAACGCUUCAUCAACCAAGAAGAGGCGGAGGCUUCAGUGAAGGAGUUCUUUGUUUCGAA